rnacentral:rRNA from 1 species
UGUUAUCACGGGAGACACACGGCGGGUGCUAACGUCCGUCGUGAAGAGGGAAACAACCCAGACCGCCAGCUAAGGUCCCAAAGUCAUGGUUAAGUGGGAAACGAUGUGGGAAGGCCCAGACAGCCAGGAUGUUGGCUUAGAAGCAGCCAUCAUUUAAAGAAAGCGUAAUAGCUCACUGGUCGAGUCGGCCUGCGCGGAAGAUGUAACGGGGCUAAACCAUGCACCGAAGCUGCGGCAGCGAACGUAUCACUUAAAGCGAUUCAGCGGGUUACGAUUGACGGAGCGAAGCGACGUCAAAGCGUAUACAAAGUCGAGUCGGUUUAAGGAUACGUUCGUUGGGUAGGGGAGCGUUCUGUAAGCCCGUGAAGGUGGCCUGUGAGGGUUGCUGGAGGUAUCAGAAGUGCGAAUGCUGACAUAAGUAACGAUAAAGCGGGUGAAAAGCCCGCUCGCCGGAAGACCAAGGGUUCCUGUCCAACGUUAAUCGGGGCAGGGUGAGUCGACCCCUAAGGCGAGGCCGAAAGGCGUAGUCGAUGGGAAACGGGUUAAUAUUCCCGUACUUGGUGUUACUGCGAAGGGGGGACGGAGAAGGCUAUGUUGGCCGGGCGACGGUUGUCCCGGUUUAAGCGUGUAGGUGUGUGUUCCAGGUAAAUCCGGUUCACUUUAACACUGAGGCGUGACGACGAGGCACUACGGUGCUGAAGCAACAAAUGCCCUGCUUCCAGGAAAAGCCUCUAAGCAUCAGGUAACAUCAAAUCGUACCCCAAACCGACACAGGUGGUCAGGUAGAGAAUACCAAGGCGCUUGAGAGAACUCGGGUGAAGGAACUAGGCAAAAUGGUGCCGUAACUUCGGGAGAAGGCACGCUGACACGUAGGUGAAGUGAUUUACUCAUGGAGCUGAAGUCAGUCGAAGAUACCAGCUGGCUGCAACUGUUUAUUAAAAACACAGCACUGUGCAAACACGAAAGUGGACGUAUACGGUGUGACGCCUGCCCGGUGCCGGAAGGUUAAUUGAUGGGGUCAGCGCAAGCGAAGCUCCUGAUCGAAGCCCCGGUAAACGGCGGCCGUAACUAUAACGGUCCUAAGGUAGCGAAAUUCCUUGUCGGGUAAGUUCCGACCUGCACGAAUGGCGUAAUGAUGGCC